rnacentral:SRP_RNA from 1 species
UCGUGCUAGAUGGGGAGGUAGCGGUGCCCUGUACCCGCAAUCCGCUGUAGCGGGGUUGAAUUCCUACCCCCGGAUUUAUUCUAUUGAGGUCUGGCCCAGAUAAGUGGCGUUGAAGACCGGGUCCUACGCAACGGAAGCUCCUGAACCGUGUCAGGUCCUGACGGAAGCAGCACUAAGGGAUGUCUUGCGUGUGCCGCAGGGGUGCCUGGUCCGAGCUAACUGCCUGGGUAACGCUUGGGAGGUAAAUUCAAAGGUAGGUGCACGA